ACAGNNMUGUGAUGCCCUUAGAUGUUCUGGGCCGCACGCGCGCUACACUGACAGAGCCAACGAGUUCUUCACCUUGACCGAAAGGUCUGGGUAAUCUUGUUAAACUCUGUCGUGCUGGGGAUAAAGCAUUGCAAUUAUUGCUUUUCAACGAGGAAUGCCUAGUAAGCGCGUGUCAUCAGCAUGCGUUGAUUACGUCCCUGACCUUUGUACACACCGCCCGUCGCUACUACCGAUUGAAUGGCUCAGUGAGGCGUUUGGACUGGCUCGGGGAGGUUGGCAACGACCACCCCAAGCCGGAAAGUUCUCCAAACUCGGUCAUUUAGAGGAAGUAAAAGUCGUAACAAGGUCUCCGUAGGUGAACCUGCGGAGGGAUCAUUA
rnacentral:rRNA from 1 species